CGUAUUAUAUGCAAGGCAUCUUCUAGGUGGUGGACGAUGAACAAAAGACGAAAAUACCUAUACUCAUGGAGCUUCUAUGCUAGUGAAAAGAGAUGGAUAAUAUCAAGUUUAAAUGGCAGUAGCGAGGUCAUACAUUCCCCUCCUCCACCCCCUGCUGUCCUAGGUGUGAGUCGAAGGACGGGAGUUGGCACAGCAAAGUGCCUCACAAAACGGUGCGUGUGGUCAAGAGGACCUUGCCUCCGCUGUCAGCGUGCCUGGGGAAGGUAACUUACACUAAACUGUGAGUAGAUACCCAGCCAGCAUCCAGCCAUGGACAUCUCUGCUGCAACUCUCCCUACCAAGAGAUGCCAAAGCUGGGCUUUCUUAAAGUGGUAUGGGAAGAGGAAAUGAGAUGUGGGAAAAAUUAAGACUUUUGGGGGGUUGUUUUAUUGCUCGGACGUGGUUUAUCUGAAAUUUUGCGAACUUGAUAUGCUAUUGUGUUAACGCAUCCAGGCUGCAGAGUUCAAAAAGAGAUGGUUUGUUUGAAAUUAUGGCACCAAAAUGUGUUUCCACUUAAGAUUUUACAAAACAAAUGCUUUGGAGAUUUGGAGAAGGGCACAGCACGGAAAGAAAGAUCUUUCACAUUUUAAUGUUAACAUUCACUUCUCGGCGCUCAGAGGAAUUCAGCCCAGUACAGUGCGACAAUCACAUCUGUGGAGCCCGUUUUGGAUUCAUCUCGGUCUUGAGUGGAACGUUCAGAAAUGCCCAGGAGAGUUUUGUUCCUCUGCAAAGUGAACCUACUUCGCUAGGAAGACACUUCUGAAAUAAGACCGUUACUUUCUUGAAAUGUCACUAGACCGGAAUAUAUUGUGAAUUGUGUGUCCCUGGACUCCCUUGUUUAAAAAAUGUAAAACCAUGAAAUUAAUCAACCGAUCAAAAAUGUGUUUCCAAGUGAACAGUUUGCUCUCUA